UUAGAGUUUGAUCCUGGCUCAGGACGACCCUUGGCGGCGUGCCUAACACAUGCAAGUCGAGCGAUGAAAGAGAAAUGGAAUUCUUCGGAAAGAAAUUUUUCUGUUUUAGCGGCGAACGGGUGAGUAACACGUGAGCAAUCUGCCUUUCACAAAGGGAUAGCCUCGGGAAACUGGGAUUAAUACCAUAUGAGACUACACUGCCACAUGGUAAAGUAGUUAAAGCGAAUAAGCGGUGAAAGAUGAGCUCGCGUCCCAUUAGCUAGUUGGUGAGAUAAAAGCCCACCAAGGCAACGAUGGGUAGCCGGCCUGAGAGGGUGAACGGCCACAUUGGAACUGAGACACGGUCCAAACUCCUACGGGAGGCAGCAGUGGGAAUAUUGCACAAUGGAGGGAACUCUGAUGCAGCGACGCCGCGUGAACGAUGAAGGCUUUCGAGUCGUAAAGUUCUGUCCUAUGGGAAGAUAAUGACGGUACCAUAGGAGGAAGCCCCGGCUAACUACGUGCCAGCAGCCGCGGUAAUACGUAGGGGGCGAGCGUUGUCCGGAAUUAUUGGGCGUAAAGGGUUCGCAGGCGGUAAUGUAAGUCUGAUGUGAAAUCCUGUGGCUAAACCACAGUAAGCAUUAGAAACUGCAUAACUUGAGUCAAGGAGAGGUAAGUGGAAUUCCUAGUGUAGCGGUGAAAUGCGUAGAUAUUAGGAGGAAUACCAGUGGCGAAGGCGACUUACUGGACUUGAACUGACGCUGAGGAACGAAAGCGUGGGUAGCAAACAGGAUUAGAUACCCUGGUAGUCCACGCCGUAAACGAUGAGUGCUAGGUGUCGGGAGUCAAAUCUCGGUGCCGUAGUUAACGCAAUAAGCACUCCGCCUGGGGAGUACGUGCGCAAGCAUGAAACUCAAAGGAAUUGACGGGGACCCGCACAAGCAGCGGAGCAUGUGGUUUAAUUCGACGCAACGCGAAGAACCUUACCAGGACUUGACAUAUGUAUGACCGAUAUAGAGAUAUAUCUUUUUCUUCGGAGACAUAUAUACAGGUGGUGCAUGGUUGUCGUCAGCUCGUGUCGUGAGAUGUUGGGUUAAGUCCCGCAACGAGCGCAACCCCUGUUGCCAGUUACCAGCACAUAAUGGUGGGGACUCUGGUGAGACUGCCGAUGAUAAAUCGGAGGAAGGUGGGGAUGACGUCAAAUCAUCAUGCCCUUUAUGUCCUGGGCUACACACGUGCUACAAUGGUCGGUACUGAGAGCAGCGAAACAGUGAUGUCAAGCGAACCUCAAAAAGCCGAUCCCAGUUCGGAUUGUAGGCUGCAACUCGCCUACAUGAAGUCGGAGUUGCUAGUAAUCGCGAAUCAGAAUGUCGCGGUGAAUGCGUUCCCGGGUCUUGCACACACCGCCCGUCA
rnacentral:rRNA from 1 species